CCUACGGGGGGCUGCAGUGGGGAAUAUUGGACAAUGGGGGGAACCCUGAUCCAGCCAUGCCGCGUGUGUGAAGAAGGCCCUCGGGUUGUAAAGCACUUUCAGUGAGGAAGAACGCCUGGUGGUUAAUACCCAUCAGGAAAGACAUCACUCACAGAAGAAGCACCGACUAACUCCGUGCCAGCAGCCGCGGUAAUACGGAGGGUGGGAGCGUUAAUCGGAAUUACUGGGCGUAAAGCGCGCGUAGGUGGCUUGAUAAGCCGGUUGUGAAAGCCCCGGGCUCAACCUGGGAACGGCAUCCGGAACUGUCAAGCUAGAGUGCAGGAGAGGAAGGUAGAAUUCCCGGUGUAGCGGUGAAAUGCGUAGAGAUCGGGAGGAAUACCAGUGGCGAAGGCGGCCUUCUGGACUGACACUGACACUGAGGUGCGAAAGCGUGGGUAGCAAACAGGAUUAGAUACCCCUGUAGUC
rnacentral:rRNA from 1 species